GGCCCUAUCGUCUAACGGUUAGGACGGAUCCUUCUCAAGGAUUAAAUUCGGGUUCGAUUCCCGGUAGGGUCACAA
rnacentral:tRNA from 2 species